GAGGGGAGAGAGACAGACAGACAGACAGAGAGGGUGAGAGAGAGAGAGAGAGAGAGAGAACCUCAUCAGGGGUUUGUUCGCCACGGAGUCGCCGACCAUCAAACAAGAAGGCAAUAGAAUUUUGGUCUACAGACUGACGGUCACAGUAAGCAGUCAUGAGCUUCCUUAAUUGAGUGCUGCGUUUAAUCCU